rnacentral:tRNA from 1 species
GAAUAAGAAGCGAUAUAUCGCAGUCAGUUUCGACCUGUCCUUAGGUAUCUUUACCCUUAUUCU